rnacentral:ncRNA from 2 species
GAUACUCUUCAGGGCGGGGUGUAAGUCCCCACCGGCGGUAAAGCCCGCGAGCCGAGAGGCAUGAUUCGGUGAAACUCCGAGGCCGACAGUAUAGUCUGGAUGAAAGAAGAUUGUG